rnacentral:rRNA from 1 species
AUGAACGCUGGCGGCGUGCCUAAUACAUGCAAGUCGAGCGAACAGAUGAGGAGCUUGCUCCUCUGACGUUAGCGGCGGACGGGUGAGUAACCCGUGGAUAACCUACCUAUAAGACUGGGAUAACUUCGGGAAACCGGAGCUAAUACCGGAUAAUAUAUUGAACCGCAUGGUUCAAUAGUGAAAGACGGUUUUGCUGUCACUUAUAGAUGGAUCCGCGCCGCAUUAGCUAGUUGGUAAGGUAACGGCUUACCAAGGCAACGAUGCGUAGCCGACCUGAGAGGGUGAUCGGCCACACUGGAACUGAGACACGGUCCAGACUCCUACGGGAGGCAGCAGUAGGGAAUCGUCCGCAAUGGGCGAAAGCCUGACGGAGCAACGCCGCGUGAGUGAUGAAGGUCUUCGGAUCGUAAAACUCUGUUAUUAGGGAAGAACAAAUGUGUAAGUAACUAUGCACGUCUUGACGGUACCUAAUCAGAAAGCCACGGCUAACUACGUG